rnacentral:rRNA from 1 species
UACGGGGGGGGCAAGCGUUGUUCGGAAUUACUGGGCGUAAAGGGCUCGUAGGUGGCCAACUAAGUCAGACGUGAAAUCCCUCGGCUUAACCGGGGAACUGCGUCUGAUACUGGAUGGCUUGAGUUUGGGAGAGGGACGCGGAAUUCCAGGUGUAGCGGUGAAAUGCGUAGAUAUCUGGAGGAACACCGGUGGCGAGGGCGGCGUCCUGGACCAACACUGACACUGAUGAGCGAAAGCCAGGGGAGCAAACGGG